rnacentral:rRNA from 1 species
AUUGAACGCUGGCGGCAGGCCUAACACAUGCAAGUCGAGCGAGCGGCGGACGGGUGAGUGAUGUCUGGGAAACCGCCUGUUGGAGGGGGAUAACUACUGUAAACGGUAUCUAAUACCGCAUACAAUCACAUGUGCCCAGAUGGGAUUAGCUCGUAGGUGGGGUAACGGCUCACCUAGGCGACGAUCCCUAGCUGGGCUGAGAGGAUGACCAGCCACACUGGAACUGAGACACGGUCCAGACUCCUACGGGAGGCAGCAGUGGGGAAUAUUGCACAAUGGGCGCAAGCCUGAUGCAGCCAUGCCGCGUGUGUGAAGAAGGCCUUCGGGUUGUAAAGCACUUUCAGCGGGGAGGCGUUACCCGCAGAAGAAGCACCGGCUAACUCCGUGCCAGCAGCCGCGGUAAUUC